AUUGAACGCUGGCGGCAGGCCUAACACAUGCAAGUCGAGCGGAUGAAGGGAGCUUGCUCCUGGAUUCAGCGGCGGACGGGUGAGUAAUGCCUAGGAAUCUGCCUGGUAGUGGGGGAUAACGUCCGGAAACGGGCGCUAAUACCGCAUACGUCCUGAGGGAGAAAGUGGGGGAUCUUCGGACCUCACGCUAUCAGAUGAUCCUAGGUCGGAUUAGCUAGUUGGUGGGGUAAAGGCCUACCAAGGCGACGAUCCGUAACUGGUCUGAGAGGAUGAUCAGUCACACUGGAACUGAAACACGGUCCAGACUCCUACGGGAGGCAGCAGUGGGGAAUAUUGGACAAUGGGUGAAAGCCUGAUCCAGCCAUGCCGCGUGUGUUAAGAAGGUCUUCGGAUUGUAAAGCACUUUAAGUUGGGAGGAAGGGCAGUAAGUUAAUACCUUGCUGUUUUGACGUUACCAACAGAAUAAGCACCGGCUAACUUCGUG
rnacentral:rRNA from 1 species